rnacentral:lncRNA from 1 species
CGUCAAUCCCUACAUGAGCCAUUUCAUCUGCCAGGUUCCGGGUCAGUGAGCUGGUCAGCACAAGCAUCAGAGAUUAGCCGUUGUGGCCAGUGAUCCUGAACUGUCUUUUCUCAGAGAUUCUACCAUCUCCCCUCCCCUUUGCCCCUCCCUCGCCAGAUCUCAUUCCUUCUGCCCCACUCUCCUGUUUUUUGGGUUCCUCUUGUAUUGUCUGUAUUGUCC